GAUGAACGCUGGCGGCGUGCCUAAUACAUGCAAGUCGAACGCUUCACAUAUGUGAAGAGUGGCGAACGGGUGAGUAAUACAUAAGUAACCUGGCCUUUACAGGGGGAUAACUAUUGGAAACGAUAGCUAAGACCGCAUAGGUGUGAUAACCGCAUGGAGAUGACAUGAAAUAUGCUACGGCAUAGGUAGAGGAUGGACUUAUGGCGCAUUAGCUAGUUGGAGGGGUAACGGCCCACCAAGGCGACGAUGCGUAGCCGACCUGAGAGGGUGACCGGCCACACUGGGACUGAGACACGGCCCAGACUCCUACGGGAGGCAGCAGUAGGGAAUUUUCGGCAAUGGGGGAAACCCUGACCGAGCAACGCCGCGUGAAGGAAGAAGUAAUUCGUUAUGUAAACUUCUGUCAUAGAGGAAGAACGGUGCGUGUAGGGAAUGACAUGCAAGUGACGGUACUCUAUAAGAAAGCCACGG
rnacentral:rRNA from 1 species